UACGAAGGGGGGCUAGCGUUGUUCGGAUUUACUGGGCGUAAAGGGCGCGUAGGCGGCUUAACAAGUCACUUGUGAAAUCUCCGGGCUUAACUCGGAACGGCCAAGUGAAACUGUCAAGCUAGAGUGCAGAAGGGGCAAUCGGAAUUCUUGGUGUAGCGGUGAAAUGCGUAGAUAUUGGGAGGAACACCAGUGGCGAAGGCGGCUCACUGGACCGGUACUGACGCUGAUGCGCGAAAGCGUGGGGAGCAAACGGG
rnacentral:rRNA from 1 species